GGCAGAGUUGAUGGGGGAGCAGCAGCAGUCAACGCACUGCAGUGAAGACACCGCAGCACUGGAGGGUGCAGAUGCCAUCAAGAAUGGCCUAGGGGUCCAUGUGUGUGCGUGUGUGGGAAACGCAGCAAGCCAGUUGGUUGUAUUUAGACCUCAUCCCUUCACCCCAAUGGCUGACUGACAGUAGACCUGGGAACCUGACAGGUAUCACAUGGAUUGUUUCAUCUGCUGCUCCAUGACAAUAUUGUGACAUCAGAAAUAUGUGAGGACGACACAUUGGUAGAGGUACUCAGAUAGUGAUUACUUAGGAGAAAUAAAUAGAGAAUAUCAGAAUCUCCAGGAGGAAAGUUACUACAACACAACAUUAAAUCAGGACAUCUAAAUGAUCAGACCUGUAGGUACGAGUGCUAAGGCCAAAUGUUGAAGGAGCUCAUUGGAAACAGACUAUCACCUACACACUACAUGAAGAUCUGGGGGUUACAGUGGAUCACAAAUUGAAUGAGUCAACAAUGUGAUGCAGUUGCAAAAAAAGGCAUUCUGUGGU